UGCCCCAUUUUUCACCAGUCUCUCUCCCGUUUUCCCCAAAAUUUUGCCCUAGAAAGCACGACUCUCUACUCCGACACACCGAUCGUCGUCACUACCUUCGGUCGGUGUCACCUAGCUGAAUAAGAAAGCAACGCCACUCUAUGUACCCAUAAAAUAGAGACCGCAUUUUUGAAAAUUUCUCCACUUCCGUUGGUCCGAAUUCGUGGUUUUGUGAAGAAGUUGGGCGCUGCAAACUUCCGGCCAUCGUGCAGUUCGAACCACAACCAUAGCCUUCCUACGAACACGAGAUUCAUAUGCGUCGCUUCAGAUUAUAUGCUACAAUGGUGGGGAAGAAUUCUGGAAUUUUAACAUAGCUGUAGAAUGGAUUAUGGUUCACUUCUUCGCCGAAUGUCCAAUUAAACGACAAUGUCUGUUGUGUAAGAAUGGAUUUCAAAAGUGUUUAGCAGUUGAAAAACCGACUCCUAAUAGAGAGAGAUUAUUCAAAUGUUGCAAUAAUAAAUAUGGCUACUGGGCUUGGGUCGUAGAAGGAUAGACUAGCGGCGAAUCCACUAAUGCUAGCCCUACCUUGGUGACAGCUGAACAUUUGUCCUGCAGGUUUGAAUCUCAAGUUCGGCUAACUGAAGGAGUGGACUUCGAAAUAUCUGUGAACGUGACGAUUCGCAGGGGAACGGGCAGUGCAAAAAGGAUUGAAAAGGAAAGGGGCCGGCUUGAUUUGUAGUCAAUCUGUUAAACGUUUUAUGUAUUAACUUAUGUAAGGAUUGUUUUUUGGGUUUGGUUCAUCAAACUAUGUAGUUGGUAGCAGGUUAUGGAUGGAACUGAUGAAACCAAUGUAACCUACGUAACUUCUAUGGAUGAAACCAAUGUAACUGAAAAUCAUUUUCUUUAUGCUAAUGUCUACAUAUUAUCAGCCUCUUUCUA